UACGGAGGGGGCUAGCGUUGUUCGGAAUUACUGGGCGUAAAGCGCACGUAGGCGGCUUUGUAAGUUAGAGGUGAAAGCCCGGGGCUCAACUCUGGAAUUGCCUUUAAGACUGCAUCGCUAGAAUUGUGGAGAGGUAAGUGGAGUUCCGAGUGUAGAGGUGAAAUUCGUAGAUAUUCGGAAGAACACCAGUGGCGAAGGCGACUUACUGGACACAUAUUGACGCUGAGGUGCGAAAGCGUGGGGAGCAAACAGG
rnacentral:rRNA from 1 species